rnacentral:rRNA from 1 species
AUGGCCGCCCGCAAGCGACCUGCUGCCGUCCUCGACGCCGACCACGGCCACGCGACGGCUCAACAUCAACAAUCGCCGACGUGCUGCAAGAGGAGCCGCGCCUCCAUCGGGAGCACCGACGACUACGAGAAGGUGGCCUGCCUAGGCGAGGGUGGCUUCGGCGUCGUCCACAGGAUGCGCCACCGCGUCACCAAAAAGGACGUGGCCGUCAAGUUCCUCUCCUCGCCGGACGACACCGAGGAGCCCCCCGACGUCCAAGAUCUUGAGCGGGAGGCACGAUUCCUCGAGGCCUGCAACGGAAACCCUUACGUCGUCGGCUUCGAGGGCAUGGUGUGCGACCCGGCCACCGGCGACACCGCCGGCCUCGUCAUGGAGUACGUCGCGGCGUCGAGCCUCCUGUCUUUAUUGUGGGACAGGCGCGGCGACCCGCCGCUCCCGGAAUCCACGGUGCGCGACUUCAUGCGGAAGCUCCUGACCGGCGCCGAAAAGAUGCACGAGCACGAGCGCCACAUCGUCCACCGUGACAUCAAGCCAGCCAAUAUCCUCGUCGGGAAGAACGGGGAGCUCCUCAAGAUUUGCGACCUCGGGCUGGCCAUGUCCAUGUGCGACUGGCCGCCGUACAACCAGGUCGGCACGGCGCCCUACAUGGCGCCGGAGAUGAUCCUGGGCAAGCAGGACUACGACGCGCUCGUGGACACGUGGUCCAUCGGCUGCGUCUUUGCCGAGCUGCUCACCGGCACGACGCUGUUCACGGUCGACCCCAAAGACGAGGAGGAAGACGAGACAAAGAAUGACGUAAAGCAGCUGUGGAGCAUCUUCCGGGUGCUCGGGGUGCCGGACGAGAGGACGUGGCCAGGCUUCACGUCGCUGCCGCUGGCUAAGAAGGCGCCGCAGCUGCUACAGGCGGGGCACAACAAGCACCGGCUGCGGGAUUUGUUCCCUGAAGAGAAGCUGUCCGACAAAGGAUUCCAGGUGUUGCAAGGGCUCCUCACGUGCAACCCCGACGAGCGACUGACGGCAGCCGCCGCGCUGAAGCACCCAUGGUUCGCAGCUCCUCGUUCCGCCGCCGACGCCGUUGAGAAGGUCGAUGCUCUGUCAUUUCCGAAAAGGAAGACACCAAGGAUCAAGUUCAUCCCGCCGGCCAUGCCC